rnacentral:lncRNA from 1 species
AUAGAACAGUAACUGUCCUGCAAAGAACUUUAGACCCCACAGCUCGCUUGCAUAUUAAUUCUUUCAUUCGCAUUCCAGUAGCUUUUGAAUACUCAUAAGGAUUAAAUGUACUGUGAUUACUCAGAUGGCCUGUAACUCAUGGGGGCUUCUGUGACCACGCCCACUCGAACGACUUCCUUCGCAGGCCACGCCCCGCUCACCUGUCCGCCAGGUCGUGAGGCAGAGAAGGCAGCUGAUGUCUUCGGACAGGAGGUGAUUCCCACUAAAUAAUGGGAGUAUAAACGUAAGUAUAUACAUUUUAUUCAUUUCUGUACACGAAUCUCAUUGAAAUCCGUUCUGCGCUAUCUGCCCUGGUGAAAACGCCGUUUGCUGCUAUGAAACCUUGGUUAAAUGAUCUUUAAAUGGUCAUUUAAAUGCAUGUGUUCUUGUGUUUCCAGUUUGGUGUCUUCGGGCAGGACAUACUUGGCUCAGCUGCUGGAAUGAUCUAUGUUGUACGAUCUGGUUGCAGUGCGGUGACGGCACCGCCCUCCGCUGCGCGUAACAGGGAUGCUGGCCUCCGGGGCUAAAGAAGGAAAUGCAACGAAGUUCCAGUCUUCAUUCUGGUCGCUGCUUCCACGGAUUGCCUUGGAGAAACAGGAACAUGCUCUGCUUUUCCGUGCAGUUGCAUGCAAAUCUUUUCGUAGUCUGUUGAUUUUGUUAAAAGUAUUUAGCGUUCGUGUGGCCGUGCUUUGACACUUUGUAAUCGAAAUGCCUGUUCAUUUUCACUUGAAAGCCUGUGCAUCAGUCAUACUGCAAUGCUUUGUUUUGUAUGCAUUUUUUACUCAAUAAAUUAUUCAUUGGAGUUUGAUUUUGUUCUUUCAUUUCUCAUGCAGAGCUCUGUACCCCCUUGGCCCUGAAAAACCUUGAUGUUGGUGAGUUUCUUGGCGGAGAGAUUUUGCGAACUGUUUCUGAGAAACGAUGCGAUGAGCUGUUUUAUCCUUGGAGUCACCUACCGCAAGGGGACACCCUAUCGCAUUGUGACUUGGAAUCUGCAGAGGCUACCCCCUUUUUAAGUGUGCCCAGAUUGUCCCGCCAAAAAACCGUCCACUCCUCUUUUUGGAGAGGGGGGCUGGAUGAAUGACC